rnacentral:lncRNA from 1 species
AGAAAUAAGAGCUGUGUUUCCAUUGGCUGGGUAAGGGCUCCGGGGACCGGCUUCUCCUGCGCUCUGCCCAGGGACUUCGCCCAGGGACUCGUCCUGGGGCACCUUCCUCUGCUCCCAGAAGGCUAGCCUCUGGGGUGCUCUUCCCCACAACCCCUCGUAGCUCACACCUGCUGAUGGAGAAGGCUCAGCCCUCUGGAGGUGUAUUGAAGAGACCUUCCUCCUGCCCUUUUCUGAUCUUGCUCCUCUCCUCCUUUGAGAGCAGAUUUGGAAAUAACGGGGUCUUUUCUUAUCUCCCCCACCAAUGAUUACAUAGAAGGCUUGAGAAAUUAUCACAGGACUGAUUUUCCCCCUCAUAACCAUACCAAAAUCUAGUGUUUCAUCUUAAAAAAAAAAAUCACUUUAAAAGCCUGGACACGUGUUCCAAUUAUGUUGUCGUUGCUCAGAAUAUUUUUAAUAUAUCUCUUUAGGGAUUGUCUUUAAAAGCUAGGAUAUAUUCUUUUCAAAGUAUAGUUGGAAGACAGUCAUUGUCCCUUGAGGGUGGGAUUUGUUUUAUUUUUCUUCUUGGAGCAAGCCAUAGACUCUGGAUCAUGUCUGGUGAAUAACAGAGGGAACCGAAUUGAGGUUUAAACGAUGUGUCUUGAUACACGUUUGUUUGUCCAUUUCUUGUGUAUUUCUUCAUUUGAUAAAAAUGGUUUGAACAAUAUCAGUCAUAAUUCAUUUGUCAAAUAUAUUAGAUAUCAGUAUAAGGAGCUGCAGUGCAUAAACUAUUUUGAAGGACAACAUUAUUUGGGUGUAGAACAUUCAAAGUAAUUUUGUUGCUGUAUUUUUGGGCAUGGUAAGCUGAGCAGACAUACAGAGAUCAGCUUCACACCUACAACCUAGAAUCCCAGAGUUGGGAUUCCACUU